AGCGCCGCGGGUGGGGAUGCGGGAGGCUGAGCGCACCGGCCAGCUAGCCCCUUUGUGCGGCGGGGGCUGCGGAGUGCUCCCUCCAAGACCGGUUGCACCCCGCUUUCCUGGCCAGGACUCUGGGCGCGGUUGGAGGCAUCUGUCCACCCAUGUGGUUCCAGACACGUUCAUGUGGCCACCAUGACCCCGUCGGCAUCACAGGGGUAACCAAGGUCCACAGAACGAGGGGAAAGGGUCACUGUGGAUCAAGCCAGGCUCCUCUGAGCAGUCCAGGGUCUAUUUACAGAGAGCAGCAAGUUCCUGGGACAGAGGAGACAGAAGGGAAUUUCCAGGUUCUUCAGGACGUUCACAACCACACUGAGAAGCAUCUUUGCAGAUAAGUAUUUAAACUUACCAGCCCAUAGCCUACCAGCCUGCCCUCUUCUGGUCUGUGCAGGAAAGUGUAGUAUCCUAGAAUGCCAAAGUGGGAGGGGAAAUGGGUGAUGUAGCUCAUUCUCUUUUCUACCUCUAUGGAAGAAAGAAAGAGCCUGUCCCCAUUUUGUGGGGUCCCAGAAAGGGUGAUUUUCACACUUCACAUUUGGCGUUAGGGCUAGUAUUUCACAAACAUUACCGUCUGGAACUUUUGAAGGCUGAGUUAAAUGACUUCAUCUUGUGUACUUGUAGAACUGCUAUUAGAAGGAGGCUGGGGACUCCCUGAUGAUGUGAACCAGCCCUUCUCUUCUCAGUUUCAGCACUUUGUGAUCAUAUUUAUAAACCUUGGACAGGGCUCCUUGGCCUUAGAGUUAAGUGAAGAGUUAACACUGUGACUUUAGAUGCAUUUUUCUCAGUGUAAGUGUCUGAGCUCAUCUCCAGUUCUGGACUCGUGCCCCCACUCCCGGGUGCUGACAGCAAGCUCUGAAGAUAUGCUGAGAGAGCUCCCUGACUCUCCUGACUCAGGUCUGCCAGUUGAUGAAGACAGCACAGUUGUUACCAAAAACAAAACCUGGCAGAUGGUCCUAGGUCAGGAUUAGUGGUCAUUCUCUGGUCUUCUCCAGACUGGUGACACAGGGUGGUCUUAAAAGAGUCCUAGUCCAGCCUCUGGCUCCCCGAAUUUCCUCUGGUGCAUGGGGCAUCAGGAAAGGGCAGGGGAGAAGGAGGGGGAGCAGAAAAAUAACUGAGGCUGGGCAGAAGGGUCCCUUCCAUUUCCCAUCCAUUGCUUCAAACAAUGGGUGAUUACCGUGCACCUUGAGUGAAUGUCAAGGCAGGAAGGGUUCCAGGGCCACCCAGUGUGGCAGGAGCAGAGCUGGGAUCAGAAUUCUGGAUUCCUGACUCUCCGUUCAGCUGCUAUUCAGCUAUCACCAAGCUGCUGAGUUUGUCCUACUUUCUCCUGGGUCACAUUCUGCUGUUGUUGGGAAACAGGGAGUGAGUGAAGGGAACCUGGGAACCCUUCUCCCCUCACCUUUUAAGGAUGUUCUGGGGUGGAAUAAAGAGAGGUGGAGGGUGGGGUGCCUGGGCCCAGCCUCCCUGGCUCCUGGUCCUUCUUUCUUCAGCAGGGAGUUCUGGCAAGGCCUGGGCCUGGGGAGGGGGCCUGGGUGCAGUUUUCUCCUGCGGUGUGGUUGGCUCUUUUGUCUUCCAGGAUGGGCCUGUGGGGUCUGUGUGGGGAAGGAAGGAGCUGGGAGCCUGGGCUGCCUGUGUGUCGGCUGGAUGCUGCCAGGUGGCUCCAUCUGGGCCGCAUCUCCAGGACUCCUGGCCUGGACUUCUCUUUGGACCUCGGGUGACCUUGGAUUCUGGCCACAGUGACUUAGCGGUCAGACUCCGGUGGUUUUCUAGCCCGCUGGGUGACUCCCUGAAGAUCUCAUCCUCUUCACACCUGUUGGGAUGGAGCCUCCCAUGGAUAGGAACUCUUCCUGGUUGAUGCUCAGCAGAUGACUGAUCUGGCUCUGGAGGACAGCUCCAGGGGUAUGAGGGAGGCCUGGCAGCCCACUACUCCCUCCUCACCUGCUCGGGCCCUGCCUGCUGGGCCCUAUUGUCUGGGUCUGGGGGCCCUUUCCUGCCCCAUGUGAACUUGAUUCCUCCUCGCGUUUCUGCCGGUGACCAGACAGAGCCUGGCCUGGGCCAAGUCCCCACUGACCACACUUUCCCCAAGGCUGGGUCUCAAAGGACCCUACAGGAUGGGGACAGGAACAAGGAUGGGAGUCGGGGAGGGGCUGUCAGGCAGAGGGCAGAUGCAGCUCCUCGGGUGCCGCUGGCUGGAGUCCUUUGUCUCCAUUUGCUCAGUGCGUAAUUGUCAUUUUGUGGGGGACUUCCUUGGUGGGGCUUUUCCAUGCUUUUCCUCUCCCUGAUGGUUACAAAGAGGAGACAGUCAGGAUCUGGGAGGAGCUGGAGCCUUCCCCCUGUGCUGUUGAACUCUGGGAGGGGCAGCCAGAGGGGCUGAGAGUGCACCAUCCUGAAAAGAGAGGGUCUUUAAGAGAUAAGAUUUAGGCUAGGGAAAUUCACUAGAAAGAGACAGGUGGCCCUGGGUUUUUUUUCCUGCCAUCCAAAGGGAACCAGUCUUACCCAAAGGCUUAAGGGGUCACCUUAGCCCAGUCUCAGGACACUCUUCUCCAAUCAGAUCGCUGCUUCUAGUUGCACUGCUCCUGGAUUCUGUUCUUGGGGAACAGAAGGUGGCAGGACAGGCCCCACAAUCUGCAAUUCCAGCUCCCUCCAGAGGAGACAGUCCCAGCGUUUGCAAGAGAGCAGCUUGUGGCCUCCCUUAGGCAAGUUUAAAAGCCAGAUGUCCUUUUUCCCAGAAUGCGGAGUGGUGUGUACUAUUCAUCAGCUUGGGCUGCCACAGCACCAUGCCAGACUGGAUGGCUUAAACAUCAGGAAUUUAUUUUCUGCCAGUUCUGGAGGCUGGAAAGUCCAGAUCAAGGUGUUAAGACUUGGUUUCUGGUGAGGCCUCUCUCCUUGGCUUGCAGGUGGCACCUUCUCACUAUGUCCUCACAUGGCCUUUUCUCUGUGGAGAGGGACAGAGAGCAUGAGCAGGCUCUGGUGUCUCCUCCUCUUCUUAUAAAGACACUAAUAUCACCAUAUUAGGGCUUAAACCUAUGACCUCAUUUAACCUUAACCCCUUAAAGGUCCCAUCUCCAAAAACAGUCACAUAGCAGGCUACUGCUUCAACAUAUGCAUUUGGGGGAGGGGACACCAUUCAGUUCUUAACAGGGUGGUCACCGCAAACAUGGAAAGUCAGAGCCUUCUCCCCUUCAGAAUUCCCGCCCCCACCCAGGGAUGGGGAGGAGGAGCAGAGAGGUAUGGGAAGCAGACACGGAGAGUGGCAGGUACCAUGCUGGGGUGGCUCAGGAGUGCUUCGGAGGACAUAUGGAACUGGCAGGGCUCAGUGCAGGGAGGCGGAGGCCCUGGGAGAGCCGUGUCCUGAGAAGGGCCUGGGCUACAACCCUGGGCAAGUUACUUCACCUCUGAGCCUCCGAUGCUCUGUGAAAUGGAAGGAAUGUGCUUGCCUGUCAGGUGCAGGGAGAAUUCAGUGAGAUUGUGUGCCUAGCACAGUGCCUGACUCCCAGUAGGUGCUCAGCAAAUGCUCCCAUCCAUCUGGGAGUAUAGACUUAGGGUUUAUCUAUUUUUUUUUUUUUUUGGCUCUCUGGACUUUAAAACUCAGCAUCUUCUGAACCAGAGGCAUUUCUGAUUAGCCCUUCCCUACCUAUUUUCCUAGUAUCACUCUUUAAUCAGCUUGGGGAGGUGGCAGCAUUUCAUGGCCUCCGUAGUAACUCACAAUGCUUCCUGGGGUAUUUAAAUUCUACUCUCUCAUCAGCACUGAGCACCUACUUUGGGCCCUUUCCCGUGCUAGCCAUUUGGGGGAAAUAUAGGUGAAGAGUGGCUGGGGUUUGAACCUUUAGGAUUUCACAGCCAUGCUGGAUGGGAUAAAACCAGCUCACAUGGAGAAUCAGAGAAUGGGACAGUGCCACAAAACAGUCUACUGAGGCACAAGUUCUGAGUGCCUGGGAAGUGGUAGAGAGACCCCAGAGAGGGCUGCUGCAGUCUGGAACAGCUUCCUAGCAAGCUGUACCAAACAGGGCCUUGAAGGAUGAGAAAGAUCUGGCUGAGAUGAUACCCGACCCUCUAGGGAAAUUCUUAAAGUAACUUCUAGGAAAUGUCAUUGCUCCUUAAAAAAAAAAAAAAAAAAAAAAAAGCAGGUUCUAAUUCAAAUUCCGCUGCACUACUGAAGUAGUGCAGGACUUAUCAGAACCUUUAAAAUGCUAAUGGCAAUUUCAAAUACUCAGGGACAGGGCAUAGGAUGAAGUGUUCCUUGACUUUUAUGGCCGUAGAAUCUUUUUCUCAUGGAACAUCGUUUAGAACUGUGGGAGAUGCUAGGCUGGGGUUUCUAUGGGAAAAGUACAGCAGUGAUAGAAGAUGGCAUAAUUAGGGUACACUUAGGUGCUUUGUAGCAUUGGCUGAAAAGGAAGCAGACCGGGUGGGCGUGGGGGAGUCUCAACUUGGUUCCAGGAGCCAGGCCAGCUUGAUGCGUUUUUUUUUUUUCUAAUGGUGGGAGGGCAGGCCAAUAGUUGGAGAAACUAGAGGCCUGACAGUCGGUGAUGGAAGAGAUGUCUACUAAGCACGGUUGUCAGAUCUUUUGCGGAGAGAUGCGGGUGUGCGUGUGUCUGUCAGAGUGUAACAGGAUCCAGCCCUCUGGGAAGGGGCUGACCAGAACCAGGCAGGGGGUUUCUGUCUAGGACAAGUAGGGUCCAUUUUCAGGGGAGCUGAAAUAUUUGCAGGGGGUGCUCUGAGACCCACAGCCAAUAAAUAGGGAAGCAACAUGCUUUUGGGCAGGGUCCAUGUGGUUAGGGUUGAUUUUGAUGGGGCUGGGGGGCUUAGAGUUAGACCCCCUGCCCUGGUCAGGCCCCACUCCCUGGCUGGUGGGGGCGGGAGGCCUCUGAAGCUGCAGCUGGAGGGGCCGGGGCAGUGUUGCAUGGUGUGAUUAACCUACUAACCCAGGGCUCAGCCGGGACGCUGUGGCGUGUGACGAGGUGCCUGGCCUUCUGCCAACCAACUAACCCACUAACCAGGCCCGAGCAUGCCCUACUAACCACCCCCCCGCAGCCAGAUCCUACUAACUGUGCAGCUCAUGGGCCUUUCAAGGGGCUGGGAUAUGGGGGCAGCCAAGGCUCCAGAAGGCUCUGCCUAUGGGCUGGGAUCUUUGUGCAGACCCACGUUCCAGGACAGAGAAUGCAAAUAAGACUCACCAACUCUGCCACUUCCUGUUGAGUGAGUUUGAGUAAGUCACCUCACUUCUCUCAACCUCAGUUUCCUCAGUGGUAGAAUGCGAGUUCUGAUACCUUACAGGUUGCAGUGAGGAUUCCCGUCAAUAUAAGGGUCUCAGCACAUGGCAGACACCUAAAAAAAAAAAAAGUAUGAGGAUGGAGGAAGGCCCCUCAAACCUGGUUGAACACGUCUGCUGCCUAGGCCCUGGCCUCUCUGGGUGUUCUGCACACAGAUCCUUCUGCCUGGGGCAAGACACUUGGCUUUGAAUCCAUGUCACUUCCCCACAUUCUUCCUCCGUCUCAGCUUUCUUUUCUGUAGGCAGCUCUUUUGUUCGAUUACUAACCCGUCUAACCCCUGGGGUGCCUCAACUGCACCCCGAUCAUCCCUUAACAAACUAACGGACCUGCGUGCGUUCUUCCUUUUCUCUUAGCGACUCCUGUGUGUGUCUGCUGAGGUGCCCUGUCCGCUGGUGCUGUGCUCUGACUUACUAACCCAGCCCCUACUAACCCUGUUUUCUCUUCUUACUAACCCCAGCCCUGCCGAGCUCUGGGCUCCCCCCGGGGGCUGGUCCCCCUCCUUUUGGCAAGCAGAUGACCUGGGGCUACUGGCCCUGUAGACAGAUGUCCCACUUUGCUGCCCCAUAUUGGCUGUAAGAUCAGAGUCCACUGGGCCAGGUCUAAGGCAGGGGAUGGCCCUAUUAACAAGACUCAGAGGAGGAAGAGGUGGUCCUGUGGAUGUGGGAGGCUGGACUCUGAGUAUGACAUCUCUCCUAUGUGCAGAAGUCUGGUUGCCACUGGGAGUAGGUGGGACCAGGGAAAUCUCUGGGACGUGAGUGUGGAGGCCUGUUGGUCUAGACUCUAGACUGUGGAGCUCUGAGCUUUUGUGUCCUCUGGAAGGAAGCUGGGGAAGAAUCCUCUCCAUUGUUAAGUGACGGGGAUAGAAGCUGUCCUGCACAGGAAGUCACGAGGGGGGCGUAUCCCACGAGGAAGGCAGGAGGGGGCGUGCCCCUCACCGGAAAUUAGCAGAGGGGCGUGUCCCACACCGGAAGUCAGAAAGCGGAGCCUUUCUUACACCGGAAGUCAAUGAAGCGGGUCUUUCCUACGCUAAAAACCACUGAGUGGAGUAUUUAGUACACAGGAAGUCGGCCAGAGAAACAUUUCUCAUAUUUGAAGGCCGGAAAGAGGGACAUUUCUGACACCGGAAGUCAGUGAGAGGACUCUUUCCCACACAGGAAGUCAGCUAGAGAGCCGUCUCCCCUCUCUGGAGCCGAGAGAGGCCGGUUUCCCCCACCGUAGCCCACCUGGGAGGAAUUUUCCAGAGAUCACUGUCUGAUGACCCUGUCUUGGAAUUGGAGCCAUGCAAGUUACACUGACCACGUUUGGGUUGGGAUAUUGAGGAGGUUAUGGUUAAAAGCAUACGAUGGGAGAUCAUAUUGUACUUGCGAGUGAGACCCGGCUGGAGGAAUGUUUUAAUUCUUCGGAAAUACCAAGUGGUCUCUAGAUGGGUUUUCACUAUUUUUCCCAGGCUAGUCUCCAACUUCUGGGCUCAAGCGAUCCACCCGCCUUGGCCUCCUAAGUCCUAGGAUUAUAGGUAUGAGCCACUGCGCCUGGCCUUUUUGCCUUUUGAAAGUAUCUGUUGUUAACAAUAUUCAAUUGGGUUGAAUCUUGCUAGGGACCAAGGUGAAUUUGCAUAAAUUAGUCUAUGCCAAUUUGCAUACUAUCAGCAAAUUUGUAGUGUACAGAAUUUUGGAAAUAGAAGGAAGCUAAGAGGGGUGUCAAAUGCAGCUUCUUCUUUUUUUACCUGAAAAGAUACCAAAGUCCAGCUCAGGGAAGGUCACACAGCUAAUUCUUAUCAUGGGGAGACAGACCCAGGGACAUCAUGGUGCCUCCGAGAUUAGUACGGCCCCUCAAACAUCCCCAUUUUCUGUCCCUAGCCCAUUGGAACCCCUUAAAGUUGGUCCCUCGAGCUCGGGUGAUAGCACACAUGAUGGAAAGUAGGCAGGCUUGCCAUUGAAGCUCCAACCUAGCUCUGCACCACAUCAGCUGUGUGACCUUGAGCAAAUCACUUAACCACUCUGAGCAUGGCAUUUGUAAAUGUCAAGGUAGCAACGCCCUCUUUACUGCCCUGUUGUGACAAAUAAGAUAUAUUCCAUAAAUAUGAUCCAUGUAGUAUUAAACUACCAUUUACUGAGUCUCCCCUAUGGAAAGCACUUAGUAGGUGCUCAAAAACUCCUAGUCCUUUCUUCCCCUCUUUCAAUGUGUCACUGCAUCUGGGUAAUUUAUACCCAUUUCCUGUUUUCCUUUGAGAAGUGCAUGUCAUGCUCUGCACAAAAGUGACUCUUAAUGGUGGCAUUUCAAGCAUCAUGGCAGAGUGCUGAGACGCUGAUGAAGAUAUUUUAGGCUGGGGUGCAUGGGGAGCACUCUCAGGGCCUCUCAUGCGCAUCCUGAGCCCUUCCUGUGAACCAGACUGACCCUGGCUUCUGUGCCAUUUUCAUUCCAGCCAAGAAUGUUCUGAAAUGAAGCCAAUAUCUGAAGGAUCUAGGAUGCCUGUUCCCCUCUCUUAUGCUGUCUCGGGGGAUGAUUUAGCCACCAAGAAUUUUCCUUAUGGUUGCAAGAUGAUUAAAAAAAACCACACACUCAGAUGCUUUUCGGAGGUUGACAUUUUUCACAGCCCCUCUUCCUCCUCCAUAGAUUUCCUGGAGGUUCCAUCCAGCUCUGGCUCUAGCUGGCUCCUUGACUCUGGACAAGUCACUUCAUCUCUCCAAGCCUUGUCUAUAAAGUAGGGAUAAUACUCCUUCCCACUUCAGAGAGUCAUUCGGGGAUUAAACUGUGACAUGUAUGUAGCCAAGGGUCCAGCACACACUGACAACUCACCAAAUAUUAGCCAUCACUCCAAACUAAGAAGGCAGGAUUCCGGCUGGGCACGGUGGCUCACGCCUGUAAUCCCAGCACUUUGGAAGGCUGACGCAGGUGGAUCAUGAGGUCAAGAGAUUGAGACCAUCCUGGCCAACAUGGUGAAACCCCGUCUCUACUAAAAAUACAAAAAUUAGCUGGGCGUGGUGGUGCGUGCCUGUAGUCCCAGUUACAGGCUGGGAGGCUGAGGCAGGAGAAUCACUUGAACCUGGGAGGCGGAGGUUUCAGUGAGCCAAGAUUGUGCCAUUGCACUCCAGCCUGGCGACAGAGUGAGACAGAGUGAGACUCCGUUAAAAAAAUAAUAAUAAUAAAUAAGAAAAGAAGGCAAGAUUCCAUUAACUUCCAGAAGGUAGACUGUCUUAAAUAUUGGGCAAUUCCCUUUCCUCCUCUCGGCCUCAGCUUUCCCAUCUGAAAAAUGGGAGUAGGACAAGGGAACUGGAUCGCAGGCAUUGACAUAACUUUCUGUGGUUAUUAAAUAGGGCCCCACAAAGACAGUGUCGGGGACCAAGGAGCUCAGGCCGCCUGCCCCACCUUUGCCACCUGCAAGACUGUAUACUCCAGCCAGUAAGGACCUCACUGUUCUCACUCACUAGUGUGUCCUCAGUCCCAGCCCAGGGACUCUGGCUAGGGGCUGACACUUAAUAAAUCCAUGUGAAUGGAUGCAGGAACUCUGCUCCGAUCUGUUCUAUCUGCUUAGUUUUUGCAUACAAUUUUGUUUGAACAAAGAACCACGUGGUUUAUCUAUCAGUCAGGGCUCAGCAGGAAACACAUGGCACAUAUAUAAUUGGGAUAAUUUGAGGAGAGUUUAGUAAAGGAAUUGUUUACAAAGGUGUGGGCAGGGUGUAGGGAACCCACACAGGAGGGUAUAACUGGGGUCUAGUGUCAGCGGGCGCCAUCAUCAUUCCUAGGCCAGAUGAGGGAAGGUUAAGAGUUAAUGGCCGGGCGCAGUGGCUCAAGCCUGUAAUCCCAGCACUUUGGGAGGUCGAGGAGGGCGGAUCACAAAGUCAGGAGAUCGAGACCAUCCUGGCUAACAUGGUGAAACCCCGUCUCUACCAAAAAUACAAAAAAUUAGCCGGGCAUGGUGGCGGGCGCCUGUAGUCCCAGCUACUCGGGAGGCUGAGGCAGGAGAAUGGCGUGAACCCGGGAGGCG
rnacentral:lncRNA from 1 species